rnacentral:misc_RNA from 1 species
AACGGUCUAUACCUGCGGUACCUGCGGAAGGAUCAUUACCGAGUUUACGACUCCCAAACCCAAUGUGAACGUUACCAAACUGUUGCCUCGGCGGGAUCUCUGCCCCGGGUGCGUCGCAGCCCCGGACCAAGGCGCCCGCCGGAGGACCAACCAAAAACUCUUUUGUAUACCCCCUCGCGGGUUUUUUAUAUCUGAGCCAUCUCGGCGCCUCUCGUAGGCGUUUCGAAAAUGAAUCAAAAC